GAUGAACGCUGGCGGCGUGCCUAAUACAUGCAAGUCGAGCGAACAGACGAGGAGCUUGCUCCUCUGACGUUAGCGGCGGACGGGUGAGUAACACGUGGAUAACCUACCUAUAAGACUGGGAUAACUUCGGGAAACCGGAGCUAAUACCGGAUAAUAUAUUGAACCGCAUGGUUCAAUAGAGAAAGACGGGUUUGCUGUUACUUAUAGAUGGAUUCGCGCCGCUUUAGCUAGUUGGUAAGGUAACGGCUUACCAAGGCGACGAUGCGUAGCCGACCUGAGAGGGUGGUCGGCCACACUGGAACUGAGACACGGUCCAGACUCCUACGGGAGGCGGCAGUAGGGAAUCUUCCGCAAUGGGCGAAAGCCUGACGGAGAAACGCCGCGUGAGUGAUGAAGGUCUUCGGAUCGUAAAACUCUGUUAUUAGGGAAGAACAAAUGUGUAAGUAACUAUGCACGUCUUGACGGUACCUAAUCAGAAAGCCACGGCUAACUACGUG
rnacentral:rRNA from 1 species